GGGCGACGACGGUUCGAAGGGACCGAAAGGAUAUCCAGGAUCCAAGGGGAACCGGGGUCGUGGGGGGAACUCAGGCAUGCCAGGAGAACCAGGUGAGCCUGGAGGUGACGGAUAUCCAGGACACAAAGGCCCGAAAGGUCCUCCUGGGAGCAGAAGCCUGUCUGUAAGUCCACCUUUAAAUCGCUUCACCUGCUUAAAAUAAAUAUGUUGUUGACCAUUUUCUGUCAUCUCAGGAAUGCGAACUGAUUGACAAAAUCAGAGACAACUGUGGUAAGUGUCGUCGCUUUAAACACGUUUGCAAAACAAUGAUGAGCUGUUUGUUUAUGAGUUUUUAUGUAGAGGA